rnacentral:lncRNA from 1 species
AAACGCUACAUCUAUAUCUAUACCUAUCUAUACCUAUACAGUAAUCCCCAUGACUAAAUCCUACAUAUACCCAUCCCCUUAAUUUGAGGAGAAGUGGGGCCUACUUUUUUUUUUCUUUUUAACUUUUUUCAUUUUCUUUAGAUUUACUAAGGCCUAAAUUUUUUUUUUUACCCUUUUUUUUUUACCUCGUGGUUUUCCACCAUCUUUCUUAAAUUUGCAAAUUCGAACCUUUAUUGUGUUUCAUAUUCGGAUUCAAUUAAUUGAUUAAAAGUGAUAU